rnacentral:rRNA from 1 species
AAUAAUGAGUGCACUUUAUUGUGGCUCUAAAAUUUUCAAUAAAUUUCNCCCAUUUUAAACCCAAAGCUGUUAUGUGUACCUCUUUUGGUAUAACAUCUCAGUAGUACGCAUCAUGUGGGAUCUUUUUCUCACAAGUUGCAUUACCCCCCCUUUAUAAGUGACCCACUUUAUCAAUUACUCUAAAAUGUUUUAGGAAUGUAAAUGCCCCUUUAAUUAUAUAUAACUUUUAACAAUGGAUCUCUUGGCUCUCACAUCGAUGAAGAACACAGUGAAAUGUGAUAAGUAAUGUGAAUUGCAGAAUUCAGUGAAUCAUCGAAUCUUUGAACGCACCUUGCACCUUUUGGUUAUUCCGAAAGGUACACCUGUUUGAGUGUCAUGAAACCCUCUCAUUCCAAUUCUUUAUUUAUUUAAAGGGUUGUGAUAUGGAUGUUGAGUGCUGCCGUUAUUGGCUCGCUUUAAAUAUAUAAGUACUUUUAUUGAACAAUAAAUGGAUUUACUUGGUGUAAUAUUUAUUAUUCAUUGAGGAGUGUGGUUUAAUUACUGCAGCCAUUUGSCUUUUGAUAGAUAGCUUCCGAACCCCAACUAUUUAUGUAUUUAGACCUCAAAUCAGGUGGGACUACCCGCUGAACUUAAGCAUAUCAAUAAGCGGAGGAAAAGAAACUAACAAGGAUUCCCCUAGUAACGGCGAGUGAAGAGGGAAAAGCC